rnacentral:lncRNA from 14 species
AGAAGUUGUGCUUUCAUUCACUGAGCAAGAAAGCGCUGCAUUUGGUUCGGUGUGGUUGGGAUCGUACCCCUCCCACUAAUCCCUUAAAAUGGCAGAGAAACAUGAAGUGCUCAGCAUGAAGAGCAGACUGAGUUGUGAUGACAGCAAGCCCCCUCAAUCACUCCAGG